GACGAACGCUGGCGGCGUGCUUAACACAUGCAAGUCGAACGGAAAGGCCUCUUUCGGGGGGUACUCGAGUGGCGAACGGGUGAGUAACACGUGAGUAACCUGCCCUUGACUUUGGGAUAACUUCAGGAAACUGGGGCUAAUACCGGAUAGGAGCUCCUGCUGCAUGGUGGGGGUUGGAAAGUUUCGGCGGUUGGGGAUGGACUCGCGGCUUAUCAGCUUGUUGGUGGGGUAGUGGCUUACCAAGGCUUUGACGGGUAGCCGGCCUGAGAGGGUGACCGGCCACAGUGGGACUGAGAUAAGGCCCAGACUCCUACGGGAGGCAGCAGUGGGGAAUAUUGCACAAUGGGUGGAAGCCUGAUGCAGCAACGCCGUGUGCGGGAUGACGGCCUUCGGGUUGUAAACCGCUUUCGCUCAUGACGAAGCUUUGUGUGACGGUAGUGGGUAAAGAAGCACCGGCUAACUACGUG
rnacentral:rRNA from 1 species